rnacentral:lncRNA from 1 species
CACUAUUCCAAGUCACAUUAUAUACUAGUCACAGAUUAACAAUUUAUUGGCUAUAACACUCAAAUAUUCAAAACACUUGUCCCAUUACUACUAUCACCAUGUGCACCACCACCUUCAGUACCCCCACCACCAUUUCGCUAGCACCAUAACAGCACUCACAAAACUACACCACCACCAUAAAACUGCACAACCACAGCGCAUAACGCACCACUGUACCCACAUCACACAACUAUCGCACUCCAUAAAAACCAUCGGCCACCACAAUCCACGAUUCUAUCAGCCAUGGAACAAAUCAAAAUAAAAAAUAAUAAAAAAAUAUCUGCGAUGAAGAAGCAAGGAAGAGUGCCAUUGCCGGAGGGAUGACUAAGGAGAAACACAUAAUAGUCAUAUUGUUGCUGCAUCUCUAUCACAGUCGAGUGAUGCCACAUCUCGUCACACUUGAGUGAUUGAGCAUUUUCCCUACGAGCGGCGGUCACAGUCCGCUUUAUGCAAUGGUGGCACGCGGCAAUGCAUCGUCCGAAUGGCAACAAAGAGUGGAGAAGGUGGGGAGGGACAAUUGAGAAGAGAGUGAGAGAGAAUAGAUCAAAAUAUUUUAGGGUUUGAAAUUGGAUGGGGG